CUGACGCAGUGUCAGUUACGGAAAAUAUUGUUUCUGUACGAACCAGUAAUCAGGGCGAUCGAUGCUUAGUAUGUAAAGAAAAUAAUCUUUGGAUUUGUUUGCAUGAUAAGUGCAAACAGCGACGAGCAUCCUAUCAUGCAUCCGGCUAAUUAGCAGAAUUCUCGUGCGACCACAUAGAAAAGGCUUCAAAUCCAGUGACCCCAAUGGCAUGUUAUUCUCCACAAAGAUCAAAUGCAUCUAAAUACCCAUGCAGCGAGAAAAUUAAAGGCGAGUUAUUUUCGAUAACAGAUGAUGCUACAAAAGGCAAUUUGUUGUUUGUUUUUUUAGAAUUGGAUCAAAAAGGUGGUUGCAGGUAUUCAGAUCCUGGAAUGCUGUGAAAUGGCCCUGCUGACCUGUUGGGACAUUCUAUUGGGUGAACAUCAAAUGGUGUGUGGAGUGAAAUGAAAUUUCGAUUCAAUGUGACUGAUAGAUAGUGAUGAUUUUAGUGAAUUAUGUUAUGAUGAUGCAUGGACCGUGAUGAUGUUGGUGAAGCUUGAUUUAUAAUGUAGAUAUAAAGUGAUGAUACUGGUGAUAUAUGAGUUGUAAAAUGGUAUGAAAUAUAAGUGAUACAUAAGUCUGAACAUUCAAGCUAAAAUGAGACAUGAAUAGUAAAACUGUG